AGCACCCUUUCCGCAAAGGCCCCAACACCAUCUGGGACCAGCUCCCGUUCCCACCACGGGUCUCUCGAGGGUGCCAGCACCUUAUCAGGUGGUGUUUGUCCAUCCACCCCUCGGACAGGCCAUCAUUGGAAGACCUAUUGUGCCAUCCUUGGGUGCAGGGCAUUUGCCUGCUCUAGAAGACAGGAGAGAUCCACGUGCUCACUUUGAUCCAGGGGCCUGGCAACUGGGCCCUCGGCAGAACACUGACAGCCUGGUCUGGCCCCCAGGGAAGGAGAAGGGGCCUCUGGAGAAGCUGUGCCGGGUGGGGCUGCUGCUGGAGACAUCGAGGACGACGUCAGGGAUGACAAGCUCUUUGUUGUUGACCUGGACACUGGCGAGCUGAAGAUGAUGGACUUUGAUUCUGGCCCCUUCCUCCAAGCCGUGCUCCACACGCCGUUUGCAGAUGAGUCCACACCCAGGGGGUGCUCCCGGGCAUUGCUCAGCCUGGCUGGGCACCAAAGGUUCCCCCUUUGCUGGCGGGGAACCCGAUGAAUUCUUCAGCCGGCUGCCAAGCUGCUUCUUGGCAGGAGGGUGGGCUGGGCUCUGGGCUGGGUGUGAAAUGGGAGCCCGGCUCUGCCCCCAGCCUCUGCCACUGCCCCUUUGCUGGGCGGGGCUGGGGCAGGGGCAGCCAGCCUGCCAAAAACCAACCCCCGUGGGGGGAGCAAAGGUGGGGCUGCAGAACACCAGCUGCUUUGGGCUGCAGGCCGGGAAAGGCUUGGGCUGCCUUGGCUUAGGAGCCUUUCUUUGGGGCAAUGCAGCAGGGCAGGGAGAAGGCCUGGGUUUUCCUUACCUGGAGGAGGAGCUUUCCUUUGGUGUGGAGGGGUUGGGCCUUCCUCAGAACCCUGACACAAUGUUAACAUUUUACCUUUUUGUCUUGUUUCCACUUUUUGUUUGUAAUCUCUUGUCAUGAAUUUGUUGUUUGUUUUUGAGGGAAGAGUUGGAGCUGGUGCCCAGUCUGGAUUGGGAAGGGCUGGGACCAUCCCUGGAGUGGAUCUGACGUCCCCUCUGAGAAGGCUGAGGACAUCCUUUGGGACACGCUCUUCUUCUGGCAGCAGAUCUUGUGAGACAGGACACCUCUGCCUGAUCUCCCACGGAUCCAAGGGAUCUCUGGAUCUUCAACCAGCACCAGGAUUUUGCUGGAGAAGAGCACAGAUCCCCAGCCCAGUCUGGGACACAGAACCCUGUGAAAUGGCAGAAGGAUUGUGGUGUGAAUGCAGCGCCCUCAGAGCCCUUGGUGUGAGCCCGGAAAGGAAAAUCAAGGGAAAUGGUUAAAGCCUUGUUGUUCCAUGUGGAGCACAGGAGAACUUUGUUCUCAUCGUCUCCCCGAUAAGGAGGAGGACUCAGAUCUUCUGGUUGGCCCCACGGGCAGGUUGAGUGGGGGAACAGAAAAUCAAGAUGCAGAAACCAAUCUUGCAGGGGAACUGGCAUGUGAAGAGGCAGAUUUAGCAUGUCCAGAAGAAAAGGUAGAGAGAAUGUGUCAGAGAGAGAGCAGAGAGCUUCAGUACAGCUGCAGGAAGAACUAGAGCUAAACAAGGAGGGAUGGGAGUGGCCCCCCUGUGUGAUAGAACUCAGACUAGAUGGCAAAAGCAUCCACCUGCAGUGGAUAUUAUCUGGAAUGAAACAUGCCAGGCCAAAGGCAAUGAACACGUCAAAAUUCUUUACAAUGAAGCAGGUUCACAGGGAAGAGCCUACUGACUGGAAGAAACAGCACAAAAAUAUAUGAAUAUCCAUCCUGAAACACAGGGGGGAAGGACUCAACUGGCCCCCAUAUUUGUGGGGCAGUCCUCAGAUGUGGUUAGGAGGAAAUGACAAAAAGCUGAGGGACAAGAUCAAGAUCAUUUCAGGACAUUGUUGGAGGUUGGGAGAAUCAGCAGGAAUCAACUCAGCAGAAAGAAGUUUCAGUUAUGGAAGAAAUCCCAGAGGAAAUGGUGCCCCUGGGGAGAGGAAGAAGAUGAGAGCAUGGGCAGCCUGCUUCAAACAUCCCCCCCAGGAGACUUGGGAUCAAUCCAUGUGCAUCCUGUAAGAAAGAUGGACACUGGAAAUGGGAUUGUCCGCAACUGAAACUUCAGAACCCUCCGAACCCUCUCGUGGCAUCACUGAAGAUGACUGAGGGGGCACCAGAGGAUUCUUCCCCAUCAGAACAUCUGGUUCCAGCCAAGCUAAGUACAAUUGGUUGUGGCUGUGGGAACUUGUUCCCCUGUCUUAAAUAAGGGAAAAUGAAACUCAAGUCACAAUUCUGGAACAAUUGUCUGGUGUGACAGGGAAUUGGGAAACUGGGCCAUUUUUAAUGGUGUGGAUUUGAAAUUGGGAAAACAGUGGUUGGCUCCCCAGUAUGUCCCCAAUUCCCCAAAGCCUCUGCCUGGGAGAGAUCUCUUGGAAAAAUUAAAUGCCA